AUCAUCAUCUACAUAUAUCAAAGUUACUGAUUUUUGUUGAUUUUGUUUUUCAUGUGGAACCCUAAAUCUUGGAUAAAAUCGGACUCCGAUCAUUCGUGAAACAACAGAGAUAUGCAUCCCUUGCACAACAGUCCUUCAUUUUUAAAGCUUAUUGAUGAAGAUGACCCGAUAUUUUUGGUGAAGAGCUUCUUUCAGACUCCUUCCCCUACAAGGAACU